GGCGCGCUUAGGCAGGCGGUGGCGCGGCUGGAGUGCCGCGGGGAGGGCUGUGCCGGUUGCUUUCUGCAGCCGCAUCUCGGCCAGCUCUCCUCGCCGUCCCCGGGGCGCUGUGCGUCUCCAGUCCGGGACCGAAGCCGCCUGCCGUAGCGGGCGGCCAGAUCCGCGUCCCGCCUCAGCGGCCGGAGGACAUGCGGGAGAGAGAAUGAGCCAGAGGGACACGCUGGUGCAUCUGUUUGCCGGAGGAUGUGGUGGUACAGUGGGAGCUAUUCUGACAUGUCCACUGGAAGUUGUAAAAACACGACUGCAGUCAUCUUCUGUGACGCUUUAUAUUUCUGAAGUUCAGCUGAACACCAUGGCUGGAGCCAGUGUCAACCGAGUAGUGUCUCCCGGACCUCUUCAUUGCCUAAAGGUGAUCUUGGAAAAAGAAGGGCCUCGUUCCUUGUUUAGAGGAUUAGGCCCCAAUUUAGUGGGGGUAGCCCCUUCCAGAGCAAUAUACUUUGCUGCUUAUUCAAACUGCAAGGAAAAGUUGAAUGAUGUAUUUGAUCCUGAUUCUACCCAAGUACAUAUGAUUUCAGCUGCAAUGGCAGGCAUUUACUGUACAUUUCUCCCGAGAAAAGAGUGAGAUCGUGUCAUCUCAUGCUCCCCAUCCGCAGGUCACU
rnacentral:sRNA from 1 species